rnacentral:rRNA from 1 species
AGUGUAGGCGGGAUCGUAAGUUAGGAGUUUAAUACAUGGGCUUAACCCAUGAGCUGCUUUUAAUACUGCGGUUCUUGAGUAUGGGAGAGGGCGAUGGAAUUCCAGGUGUAGCGGUGGAAUGCGUAGAUAUCUGGAAGAACACCAGUAGCGAAGGCGGUCGCCUGGCCCAAUACUGACGCUGAUGCUCGAAAGCUAGGGGAGCAAACAGGAUUAGAUACCCUGGUAGUCCUAGCCGUAAACGAUGGACACUAGUUGCUGGAGGAGUCAAUCCUUUCGGUGACGAAGCUAACGCAUUAAGUGUCCCGCCUGGGGAGUACGUUCGCAAGGAUGAAA